rnacentral:snoRNA from 1 species
UGCAUUGUUGCAGUACUUGCACCCAGCAGCCUUAUCCUGUGGGAUGUUCAAAAAGCAGUGCUACACCAGUGCAGCAUUUGGCAUCCUUAGUUUUCAUUCUGCUGUGUCUGUUAAACCUGGUAUUUUUGCUGAAACAGUC